UGCCGGGGCGGCGGGGGCGGGGAAGGAGCGCGCCUAGGCGGCUGCGGCAGUUGCGCGCUGGGAUUGCAGCCGUGCGGCGGGCUGAAUUCAGCAUACAAUUGAAAUAAAAUGACAACCUCCUGGAGUGAUCGGUUACAGAAUGCAGCCGAUAUGCCUGCUAACAUGGAUAAGCAUGCCCUGAAAAAGUAUCGGCGAGAAGCCUAUCAUCGAUUUAUUUACUUAUUUUAGAGAGAGAGCCAUGUGUGAA